UACGGAGGGGGCUAGCGUUGUUCGGAAUUACUGGGCGUAAAGCGCACGUAGGCGGCUUUGUAAGUUAGAGGUGAAAGCCCGGGGCUCAACUCCGGAACUGCCUUUAAGACUGCAUCGCUAGAAUUGUGGAGAGGUAAGUGGAAUUCCGAGUGUAGAGGUGAAAUUCGUAGAUAUUCGGAAGAACACCAGUGGCGAAAGCGGCUCACUGGACCACAACUGACGCUGAGGCGCGAAAGCUAGGGGAGCAAACAGG
rnacentral:rRNA from 1 species